GGGGCAAUCAUACUUUAUACACACUUCUGUGU
rnacentral:piRNA from 1 species